AGAAUCAACGCUGGCGGCGUGCCUAACACAUGCAAGUCGCACGAGAAAGGGACUUCGGUCCUGAGUACAGUGGCGCACGGGUGAGUAACACGUGAAUCAUCUACCUCCGAGUGGGGAAUAACUGAGAGAAAUCUUAGCUAAUACCGCAUAACACUUACGAGUCAAAGCAGCAAUGCGCUUGGAGAGGAGUUCGCGGCAGAUUAGUUAGUCGGCGGGGUAAUGGCCCACCAAGACGAUGAUCUGUAUCCGGCCUGAGAGGGCGCACGGACACACUGGAACUGAAACACGGUCCAGACUCCUACGGGAGGCAGCAGUGGGGAAUUUUGCGCAAUGGGGGAAACCCUGACGCAGCAACGCCGCGUGGAGGAUGAAAUCCCUUGGGAUGUAAACUCCUUUCGAUCGGGAAGAUAAUGACGGUACCGAGAGAAGAAGCCCCGGCUAACUUCGUGCCAGCAGCCGC
rnacentral:rRNA from 1 species